AACCUGCCCUUGGGAGGGGAACAACAGCUGGAAACGGCUGCUAAUACCCCAUAGGCUGAGGAGCAAAAGGAGGAAUCCGCCCAAGGAGGGGCUCGCGUCUGAUUAGUUAGUUGGUGAGGCAAUGGCUUACCAAGGCGACGAUCAGUAGCUGGUCCGAGAGGAUGAUCAGCCACACUGGGACUGAGACACGGCCCAGACUCCUACGGGAGGCAGCAGUGGGGAAUUUUCCGCAAUGGGCGAAAGCCUGACGGAGCAAUGCCGCGUGUAGGUAGAAGGCCCACGGGUCAUGAACUUCUUUUCUCGGAGAAGAAAAAAUGACGGUAUCUGAGGAAUAAGCAUCGGCUAACUCUGUGCCAGCAGCCGCGGUAAGACAGAGGAUGCAAGCGUUAUCCGGAAUGAUUGGGCGUAAAGCGUCUGUA
rnacentral:rRNA from 1 species